rnacentral:sRNA from 1 species
UCUGGGUCCUGCGGGCUCCGCUAGAGUGACCCUGGCACCUCGCGUCCCUCAGAACUGUGCAUCCGGAUUUUCCGCGUGACACCCAGGUCUCCGUACCUUUGGGCACCCACCCUCGGGGGCACAGUCCUGCCACCCAGACCGGGCUCUGUCCAAGGUGCUGCCGGACGGGCCCGGCCUACAUCCGGUCCUUCUCUGCAUUCCAGGCAGCUCCACCAAAGUCUGCGUGCAACGCCCUUCAUUUGCAUGGACACACGCAACCCUCGGCGCCUGUAUGGUCAUUAACAUGCUCCUCCCACCACGGAAGAACUUUCGAGGCCCGUACCAAAGUAGAUCCUUUAUUCAAAAUC